GUGGGGAAUUUUGGACAAUGUGCGCAAGCCUGAUCCAGCAAUGCCGCGUGCAGGAAGAAGGCCUUCGGGUUGUAAACUGCUUUUGUACGGAACGAAACGGCUCUGGUUAAUACCCGGGGCUAAUGACGGUACCGUAAGAAUAAGCACCGGCUAACUACGUGCCAGCAGCCGCGGUAAUACGUAGGGUGCGAGCGUUAAUCGGAAUUACUGGGCGUAAAGCGUGCGCAGGCGGUGCUGUAAGACAGGCGUGAAAUCCCCGGGCUCAACCUGGGAAUUGCGCUUGUGACUGCAGUGCUGGAGUACGGCAGAGGGGGAGGGAAUUCCGCGUGUAGCAGUGAAAUGCGUAGAUAUGCGGAGGAACACCGAUGGCGAAGGCAAUCCCCUGGGCCUGCACUGACGCUCAUGCACGAAAGCGUGGGGAGCAAACAGGAUUAGAAACCCUAGUAGUCC
rnacentral:rRNA from 1 species